ensembl:lncRNA
AUUUAAGCUCCUUCUGGUCUUUAUGUCAAGAAUAGAACAAUAAGAAGUGGAGCAGUGCCCUGAUAUCAGCUGCUGUUGAUGCAGAUACUGCCUCUUCAUCAUUACUUCUCUAAAGAAACCACAGUGGAAACGUGACUGACCACCUUAAGUGUACAGGACUGUAGAUGUCAGGCCAUCCAGCAGAAUGAGUCGGAGGAAGAGGAGAAACAGUCGCAGAAGGAAGAGCUCCAGCAGCAGUAAACAAUGCAUCUCUCCGUAUAAUUUUCAGAGGCACACUAUGGUGGACACUGUGGAAACUGCAGAGAAGGGAGAAACUGACUCCUUCUGUAAAGAGCAUAUACUGUCAGUGUCUGAAGACGAGAAAGAGACUGAGACUCCAACCACGGAGAAAGAAAACAGAACAAGGAGUUGUGAAGAUUUCUUCCAGGACAGAAAGAAAAAAGACAGACAAAAGCCAAACUCAGAACCAACAGACAGAGGUCCAGGGUUAAAAAUCACACAUUCUGUGACCAUCGAUAACUUUGGACUGUCUUCUCCCAGAGUUGUGUUCGACCGAUGCAAUGAAGCAUCGGUUAGUAGUGUGAUAGCAGUCACAACCACUGAGGUCAAAUGCAUGACUCCAAAUAUGAAGCUUGAGAUCAAUGUCGUGACAUCAGACGAUUCAAAUAUCAAGACCACCUUUAUUCUUCACAACUGCAGAGACAAAAGAGAAGAGGCUCAUUUUAGAACUGAGAAACAUCAGUCUCCAAAAAACACCCACGUGUGUUCAUGGAACCGACAUGGAACAGAUUACAAACAGAAAAUCAGUGAGAAUAUUAGCUAUACGAUUAGCAUUGCAGAGCUAAAUGCAGAGUCAACACAUGAUUCAAAGAGUCAGAGCUCGUGGGAUGAUCCUGAAGAAAUGGCUUGCCGUAAAAGCUGCUGUAAAAAUAACUUCCGUUGGGUAAACACAGGUGGCCAGACGGACACAGAUUUCACACUGGUUGAUGGAUCUUCCUGUUGCUCAUCGCCCUCUGAUUUCUGGCAACAUCAGAAACAGCGCUCACUGCCCAGCAGUCUCAGUAAUGAGGCAUUAUGGGAUAUCCCUCCCCCUGAUGAAUUUGCUGAAAAGAAGGCUAGUGCACUGGAUUUCCUUGCAGAAAAUGUUGCAUCGUGUCAGAUCAGUCCCAGAGAAAGAUUCACUGGCCAUGACAACACAAAUUGCACACAGACAGCAUCUGAGUUUACCAAAGAGUUUACACGCCAGAAUACACUGGAUGGGGACAACAGGACAAAUGUACCCAAGUGCUGUGAACAGCUAUCCAACUCGAGUCCUCUGGAACACUUAUUCAUGAAUCCCAGAGCUUCAAUAAACAGAUCCUCUUUCACUAAAAACUUCAUUGACAAUCACGAAAGGAAGACGCGCUUGCGCAACAACAGCAUCGCCUUCCUAGAAAGCAAUACUAAUCCUGUAGGCUACAUGGACAUUCCUCCCAAAAGACGAAAGACUUACCCGGGACUGACAUAUCAAAUGAGUCAAGCCAGAGAGAGCAUUCCCUCAUACAGAGAGUCGUUUUCCUCUGGCACACUGUCGUCGUUUUUCACGCAGUCCCUUCCCUCUCAGGCAGACAGGAUGGGAAGAUUUUAUGUAGAAGACGAAAGACUCCGUCCACUUGGGAGCCGCAAAUCUUCCAGUAGUAGCAGCUAUAGACCAAGCUCAAGCUCUACAACCGGUCCCGACUCUUGUAUUCCCAAAUUUAAGGCUUACAGCUCAAUGAAAAACCCAUUCUAUCCAUCUAGGUUCGAUGAGAGUCCAGAAGAAGUCUUCUUUAGAGGCAAACAAUAUCAAGGGCCAUCACAGCUAGACGAGAUGGAGCAAAUGGGUUCAGAUGUUGCUGCAGGAAUGAUGAUCGAUGAUGGCACGGACAGCACCUCAGUGGAACCACCUGAGCUGAAUGAAGUCAAUGAAAGUGGCUUUGACGAGGAGAUGGUGGAGCUGGAUGGGUCAAUUUCUCCAGGUGACACCAUGGAGAGCCAUCAAAGGGAGCUUCUUAUUCAUGUCAUCCCACCUUCACUGCACAACUCUGAAGAAAAAAUCGAUGAAGGAUUACCUAACGGUAUCAAGCAUCACACGUGGGACGGAGAUGAAGCUGACGCUCCAAAGAAACGGAGAGGUUCGGUAAUGACAAUAAUCACUGGGGACUGUGAGCAGAGACAUGUCUUCUCGUUUGAUGAGGACGUUACACAGGAACAUCAGAUAGAUGCUUUGAGUCCUGUGAUUGAGUCUCCUAUCGGGUCUCCAAUAGAGGAUCUGGCCAGUAUCAGAGAAGCUGUAGAAGAGGUCGUGGACUACUCCCAAGCACAAAAAAACACAAUCUCUGCAAACACUAAGCUAACCUUACAUAUGGACACGUCUUCUCAACAGCCUGGAGAAGUGCAAACAAAUGAAUCCCUGGAGAAAAUAAGCACAGAUGUCUCUAGGACUACCAAAUUCUAUAACAAUGAUACGUCUGAACGGCAAAGUGCUUCAAAAAAUUCUUUAGAGGUCAAAGAGCACCUCAGGCCUCCAACAGACUCCAUUCAUAAAGAUUCAGAGGAGCAUUCAGACCACUGGGCAAAGAGGCGGAAGCUCUUCAAAGAGAGCAAACAACGCAGCUCUGCAGGAGGAAGUUCUCUAACGAGCAUAAUCACAGAAGAAUCAGACACAUUGAACUCUGAGGACACUCGUUCAGUGGACAUGUCAAUGCGGGAUAUUGAGGACAGAGGAUUUUACACAGAAACCUUUCACUCAGUAUCAUGGAUAUACCAUGGAGAUGACGUUAACCAGAAUGAUAGUCCACACUGUCUCACCAGCUGUACUCGACCAGCAGCCAUUCGUGAGCGGACGGUGAAAAUCAGCAAAGGCAUGGGCGAGUAUCCAUGGGGCUUCAGAAUUCAGUUCUCCAAACCCAUCGUGGUUACUGAGGUGGACACAAAUGGAGCAGCGGAGGAGGCAGGGCUGCAGGUUGGAGACUACGUGCUGGCGGUAAACGGCACUGAUGUCACUAGUGUGCCACACUCAGAAGCAGCUGACCUCGCACGACUAGGCCCAGACAUUUUAACGCUGACCAUUGGCUCGGAUAUUGGUCGAAUUCCUAACACUCCAAGACCAGCGUGCAGGGGUUACUUGCAUAAGCGAACUCAAUCCAGUUUGCUGAAAGGCUGGAGAAAGAGGUGGUUCGUGCUCAGACAUGACUGCUGCCUCUAUUACUACAGAAACAAGCACGUGAGUGAUGAAGGGAAGAGUCAAGCUCUGUCUGUGACGAGUCUGGAAGGAGCAGUGGUGGAGGCUGACACCAGUUUAGGAAAGCCGUUUGUGUUCAGAUGCUGUCCUAUCUCUGGGAACCGAGUUUACUACCUGUGUGCAACAUCAAACCAAGAGAUGAAGAGGUGGCUGGAGGCUAUGGGUAGAGUGGUUCAUCCUAUUACUCAGAAUCACGUGUGGAUGGACGUCACUCGACACAACUCAAAUCUGCCCCCUCUGGCAGUCAAGAACCCAGAAUGCCUUGGGUUACUCCACCAGCUGGACAGGACCAAGGACUCAUGGGUGCAACACUACUGUGUUCUGAAAGACGGAUGCCUCUAUUUCUAUGCAAGCAUCCGGUCAACCUGCGCGAUAGGAGGAAUCUACCUGCAUGGUUUCACAGUGAGGGAUCAGCCAGUGGGAUCCAAAAGAUCUGCUAUUGAGCUCAGACCUCCAUCUGAAGAGUUUAAAGUGUUCUACCUCUGUGCAGAGAAUGCAAAUGAGAACAAACGAUGGGUUAGUGCAAUAAAAUCAUCUAUUGGAAAAUGGCUGCCACUGCAUAAGGCACUUCAAGACUACAUGAGUCGCCCACCCGAGGAAACAAGAAUGUGAACAAGAGUUUCCCAACAAGUUUAAUUCAGACACAACCACGUUCAUACCAGAACAUAAUGAUUUCCUAAUUUUCUCUUGCAAUUACAUCUCUGAAUAUCAUCAUUUCUGCAUUUGGAAUAUGCAAAUACAUACAAAUAAAUAUAACUUUUUUUAAAAAAGCA